rnacentral:rRNA from 1 species
CUGGCGGCGUGCUUAACACAUGCAAGUCGAACGCGAAAGGGACUUCGGUCCUGAGUAAAGUGGCGGCACGGGUGAGUAACGCGUAGAUAACCUGUCUUCAUGUCUGGAAUAAUACGCCGAAAGGGGUACUAAUACCGGAUAUUCUUGCUUUUCAUAAGUUAUGCAAGCAAAGGUGGCCUCUGCAUAUGCUACUGCAUGAAGAGGGGUCUGCGUACCAUUAGCUAGUAGGUGGGGUAAUGGCCUACCUAGGCGACGAUGGUUAGCGGGUCUGAGAGAAUGAUCCGCCACACUGGCACUGGAACACGGGCCAGACUCCUACGGGAGGCAGCAGUGAGGAAUAUUGCGCAAUGGGGGAAACCCUGACGCAGCGACGCCGCGUGAAGUGAGGAAGGCCUUCGGGUCGUAAAGCUCUGUCAAGAGGAAAGAAGUGUACAAUGGCUAAUACCUGUUGUAUUUGACGGUACCUCUAAAGGAAGCACCGGCUAACUCCGUGCCAGCCGCAGC